UACGAAGGGGGCUAGCGUUGCUCGGAAUUACUGGGCGUAAAGCGCACGUAGGCGGCUUUCUAAGUCGGGGGUGAAAUCCUGGAGCUCAACUCCAGAACUGCCUUCGAUACUGGAAAGCUCGAGUCCGGGAGAGGUGAGUGGAAUUCCGAGUGUAGAGGUGAAAUUCGUAGAUAUUCGGAGGAACACCAGUGGCGAAGGCGGCUCACUGGUCCGGUACUGACGCUGAGGUGCGAAAGCGUGGGGAGCAAACAGG
rnacentral:rRNA from 1 species